rnacentral:tRNA from 1 species
GGACGGGUCGCCUAGCCAGGAUUCGCAGAACUGAAAGGGCGCAGGCCUCCUAAGCCUGAUGUCGAGAGUUCGAAUCUCUCCCCGUCCGCCA